rnacentral:rRNA from 1 species
UACGUAGGGCGCAAGCGUUGUCCGGAAUUAUUGGGCGUAAAGAGCUCGUAGGCGGUUUGUCGCGUCUGCUGUGAAAUCCCGAGGCUCAACCUCGGGCUUGCAGUGGGUACGGGCAGACUAGAGUGUGGUAGGGGAGACUGGAAUUCCUGGUGUAGCGGUGGAAUGCGCAGAUAUCAGGAGGAACACCGAUGGCGAAGGCAGGUCUCUGGGCCACUACUGACGCUGAGAAGCGAAAGCAUGGGGAGCGAACAGG